rnacentral:rRNA from 1 species
UACGUAGGGUGCGAGCGUUGCCCGGAUUUAUUGGGCGUAAAGGGCGCGUAGGCGGCCACGCGCGUCCGUUGUGAAAUCGCUCGGCUCAACUGGGUGAGGUCAGCGGAUACGGCGCGGCUCGAGCAAGCUAGGGGGCAAUGGAAUUCCCGGUGUAGUGGUGGAAUGCGUAGAUAUCGGGAGGAACACCAGUGGCGAAGGCGGUUGCCUGGAGCUUUGCUGACGCUGAGGCGCGAAAGCGUGGGGAGCGAUCCGG